rfam:Oryza glumipatula chromosome 4, whole genome shotgun sequence.
AAAAAGUCAAACCACGAAUUUCCGUGUCCAACUUUAACUGUACAUCUUAUAUGAAAUUUUUUUAUAAUUCGUAUUUUCAUUAUUGUUAGAUGAUAAAAUAUGAUUAAUAUUUUAUACGCGACUUGUCUUUUUAAUUUUUUUAUAAUUUUUUUAAAUAAGAUGGACGGUCAAACGUUAGGUACGGAAAUCAAGGUUUGUCUUUUUU